UGAAAUGCGAAACGUAAUGCGAUUUGCACGAAUCUGUGAGUCAUCAAGUCUUUGAACGCAUCUUGCACCGUAUGAGCAAUUGUACGGUAUACCUGUUUGAGAAUCGUAAACCACCUCACUUACUUGUAAGUGGAGUUGUCGGUUUAUGGGCAUGCUCAUAUCCGAUCAAAUGGAUUAGGUUUGGAUCAGGCUGGUGGCCUGGGACACUGUGUGCUAGAGACUAGCAGUCGUUUACGCGGCUGAUCUGUCUUCUCAUGGUGCGUCUCAGGUCAUUAAAGCUGGCCUUUGAAGGACCUUAACUGCGCAACAGGGCAACCUGUUGGCAACCUUUCUCUUUGAUCUCAAAUCAGGUAAGGCUACCCGCUGAACUUAA
rnacentral:misc_RNA from 1 species